CUCGCCCCACCGCCCCCUGCGCCCGGCCCGGCCCGGCAGCGAGAGCGGCGCCAUGGAGGCCACCGGGGUGCUGCCGUUCGUGCGCGGUGUGGACCUCAGCGGCAACGACUUCAAGGGCGGCUACUUCCCUGAGAAUGUCAAGGCCAUGACCAGUCUGCGGUGGCUGAAGCUGAACCGCACGGGCCUCUGCUACCUGCCGGAGGAGUUGGCCGCCCUGCAGAAGCUGGAGCACUUGUCCGUGAGCCACAACAACCUGACCACGCUUCACGGGGAGCUGUCCAGCCUGCCGUCCCUGCGGGCCAUUGUGGCUCGAGCCAACAGCCUGAAGAAUUCCGGAGUCCCCGAUGACAUAUUCAAGCUGGAUGACCUCUCAGUUCUGGACUUGAGCUACAACCAGUUGACGGAGUGCCCUCGGGAGCUGGAGAACGCCAAGAACAUGCUGGUGCUGAACCUCAGCCACAACAGCAUCGACACCAUCCCCAACCAGCUCUUCAUCAACCUCACCGACCUGCUGUACCUGGACCUCAGUGAGAACUGCCUGGAGAGCUUGCCCCCACAGAUGCGCCGCCUGGUGCACCUGCAGACGCUCGUGCUCAACGGGAACCCGCUGCUGCACGCACAGCUCCGGCAGCUCCCGGCUCUGACAGCCCUGCAGACCCUGCACCUGAGGAACACGCAGCGCACCCAGAGCAACCUCCCCACUAGCCUGGAGGGCCUGAGCAACCUCGCAGAUGUGGACCUGUCCUGCAACGACCUGACGCGGGUGCCCGAGUGCCUGUACACCCUCCCCAGCCUGCGCCGCCUCAACCUCAGCAGCAACCAGAUCACGGAGCUCUCCCUGUGCAUCGACCAGUGGGUGCACGUGGAGACCUUGAACCUGUCCCGCAACCAGCUCACCUCGCUCCCUUCUGCCAUUUGCAAGCUCACCAAGCUGAAGAAGCUGUACCUGAACUCCAACAAGCUGGAUUUUGACGGGCUGCCCUCGGGCAUCGGCAAGCUGACCAGCCUAGAGGAGUUCAUGGCCGCCAACAACAACCUGGAGCUGAUCCCUGAGAGCCUGUGCAGGUGCACAAAGCUGAAGAAGCUCGUCCUGAACAAGAACCGCCUGGUGACCCUCCCGGAGGCCAUCCACUUCCUGACGGAGAUCGAGGUCCUGGACGUGCGGGAGAACCCCAGCCUGGUCAUGCCCCCCAAGCCCGCGGACCGCACCACCGAGUGGUACAACAUUGACUUCUCGCUGCAGAACCAGCUGCGGCUGGCAGGAGCCUCGCCUGCCACAGUGGCUGCAGCCGCUGCAGGAAGCGGGCCCAAGGACCCCCUGGCUCGCAAGAUGCGGCUCCGGAGACGCAAGGACUCAGCCCAGGAUGACCAGGCUAAGCAGGUGCUGAAAGGCAUGUCCGAUGUGGCCCAGGAGAAGAACAAAAAGCAGGAGGAGAGUACUGACGCCCGAGCCCCUGGGGGCAAGGCACGGCGCUGGGACCAGGGCCUGGAGAAGCCACGCCUUGACUACUCUGAGUUCUUCAUGGAGGACGUGGGCCAGUUGCCUGGUCUGACCAUCUGGCAGAUCGAGAACUUCUUGCCUGUGCUGGUGGAGGAAGCCUUCCACGGCAAGUUCUAUGAGGCUGACUGCUACAUUGUGCUCAAGACCUUCCUGGAUGACAGUGGCUCUCUGAACUGGGAGAUCUACUACUGGAUCGGCGGGGAGGCCACACUGGACAAGAAGGCUUGCUCUGCCAUCCAUGCCGUGAACCUGCGCAACUACCUGGGUGCCGAGUGCCGCACCGUGCGGGAGGAGAUGGGCGAGGAGAGCGAGGAGUUCCUGCAGGUGUUUGACAAUGACAUCUCCUACAUCGAGGGUGGAACGGCCAGUGGCUUCUACACUGUGGAGGACACACACUAUGUCACCAGGAUGUACCGCGUGUAUGGGAAAAAGAACAUCAAGUUGGAGCCUGUGCCUCUCAAGGGGGCCUCUCUGGACCCAAGGUAGGCCCCCAUGCCUCCAGAGGAGAGUGCUUGAGCCCAUCCUCCUCCCCACUAGUGGGGCGCAGUUUUGGGUUCUAGAAAAAAAAGACCUUCCAGCAACCCUUUUAACCCCUGUCUCAUUGAGCUUGGCCGGACCAGUAAGGGGGCUAAACCCCACCACAAGGGAUUUGGGGCAGGGUCAAGGGCAUGAGGGCAGUUACUGCCCCUGCCCAUCACUGCCCCUCCUGCCCCUCCCGUCCAGGUUUGUUUUCCUGCUGGAUCGAGGGCUGGACAUUUACGUGUGGCGGGGGGCCCAGGCCACACUGAGUAGCACUACCAAGGCCAGGCUCUUUGCGGAGAAAAUUAACAAGAACGAGCGGAAAGGGAAGGCAGAGAUCACACUGCUGGUGCAAGGUCAGGAGCCCCCAGAGUUCUGGGAGGCACUGGGCGGGGAGCCCUCUGAGAUCAAGAAGCACGUGCCCGAUGACUUCUGGCCACCUCAGCCCAAGCUGUAUAAGGUGGGCCUGGGCCUGGGCUAUCUGGAGCUGCCGCAGAUCAACUACAAGCUCUCUGUGGAACAUAAGACCCGGCCCAAGGUGGAACUGCUGCCCAGGAUGCGGCUGCUGCAGAGCCUGCUGGACACGCGCUGCGUGUACAUCCUGGACUGUUGGUCCGACGUGUUCAUCUGGCUGGGCCGCAAAUCCCCGCGCCUGGUGCGCGCCGCCGCCCUCAAGCUGGGCCAGGAGCUGUGUGGGAUGUUGCACAGGCCGCGCCACGCCGUGGUCAGCCGCAGCCUGGAGGGCACCGAGGCGCAGGUGUUCAAGGCCAAGUUCAAGAACUGGGACGACGUGUUGACAGUGGACUACACGCGCAACGCGGAGGCCGUGCUGCAGGGCCCGGGACUCACCGGGAAGGUGAAGCGCGACGCGGAGAAGAAAGAUCAGAUGAAGGCUGACCUCACGGCGCUGUUCCUGCCGCGGCAGCCGCCCAUGGCGUUGGCGGAGGCCGAGCAGCUGAUGGAGGAGUGGAACGAGGACCUGGACGGCAUGGAGGGCUUUGUGCUCGAGGGCAAGAAGUUCGCGAGGCUGCCCGAGGAGGAGUUCGGCCACUUCUACACGCAGGACUGCUACGUCUUCCUCUGCAGGUACUGGGUCCCCGUGGAGUACGAAGAGGAGGAGGAGAAGAAGGAAGAGAAGGAAGAGGAAAAAGCGGGAGCGGAGGGCAAAGAAGGCGA